UUCGGCCAGAAGGGGCGGGGCUGCGGGCGCGCGGGGGCGGGUACGAGCCGCGUUCCGGCCCCGCCCCCGUGACGCACAGCCCCUGAGGCUGAGGGCCCUGCAGCGUCUGCGUUGGCAAGCCAGCGCCUGGAGCCCUGGGUGUCCGCGGGGAGGGGAGAAGAGCCGCGGGAACACACGCGCCGGGGCAGGAGCGGCUGCAGUGAGGCGGAAAGUGGACGCUGGGGCUGAAUUGGGGGGCAAGGGACUGCGCGCUCCCGGCCUUCCCAGACGGGCGCGCCCGUGCCUGCGUGUCAGUGCACGCGCUCCUCUCAGACCAGGAGACCCCUGUCUGCUAGCUGGUUGGAUUCUCGUCCAAAUCUCGGGUGAUUUCCGCAGUAAACCCUGAUCCAGGUUGGCAAGUCUGUGGCACUCCCAUCCCAGCAGUCUUGGCAGACGUUGGGGGGGGGGGGGAAUUCUUGGUGUCUUCAGCGGAGGAUUUGCUAAUUGCCCUCCCCCCAUUCCUUCCCUCUUUAAGAACUGAAGAAAUUGGGUAUGAAAGGCCACCCUUGACACAAUGUACCUUCUCAGUCCAGUGGUUCUUUAUUGAGUGCCAGUACCACUGUAUUAGGGUCCCUGGAAGAAUGAACAGGAGGACAUUUCUUAAGGGGUUGUGUCUUCUCAAACUCACUGGCUUCUUCUUCUUUUGCCCCUUUAAUGUUAGUGUUCCCCAGGUUCUCUUAGCUGUGUACACAUCCUGAUGGAAUUUUUCAAACUCAGCAUAACUUGAUUGAUAACAACUUGGGCUCUGGUGGAAAACAGGAUUUGUACCUGUGUAACUGCUCAAGUCGUUAAUCUCUCAAUCUCAGUAUUUUUUUUUAACUGCAAAUUAAAAAUAGGAAGAAGAUUAACUUGGUAUCUCAAAUUGGUGUUAAGUAAAUGUUAUGUGAUGGUAUCCACACAUAAAAGUAUCAUCGUAUGCAGACCUGCUCUUUCUUUUAAAUUUCUCACCUCAAUUGAUGACUCCACAUCCAGUUCCCUGCAAAAUAACUAACCAAGACACUUUGGGUUCUUGCAGAUGAGGUGCGUACUUGCUCCUUCACAUCAUUACCCUCAAUCCUCCCUGUUUUGACCUGGUCCGCUGGAGUUCCUCCAAUGUGCUGGGCACAUGCUGCUUCCUUCACCUGCUUUUCCUACUCCUGUGGCUCACUUGCAGGCCCUGGUCCUACUGUUUUCUCCUCAUUGAGCUGAAUUUUCACUUCUUGUCUGGAAACAUUCCAUACUACCUUCCCAUUACCAUCACACCCAAUUGGAAUUUCCUGUCCUCUCCCAGGUUACCUUUCUACAUAGUUAUUACCACAUCUGUCCCAUUGUGUUGUAAUUUUUCAUUUACAUCACUGUCUCCUUCUUCAGACUUUGAAUUUCUUCUAGGUGAUCCAUUACUUAUUUAAUCAAAGAAACAGUAUUUGUUCAAAGUACAAAUUAUUGCAGAAAUGAAAGAAAUGAAGAACGAGGAAGCAAAAGACUAACAGAAGACGUGCCCGAAUUGCCUGGGCAAGAAUCCAUAAGAAUCUGAAAUAGGGUAAUAGUCUGGACUUAGUAAAAUGGGGAUAAACUACAGAGAAAUAGUGAUGAGUUUGAUGGCUGAUUAGGUGUUGGAAGAGAGAGAUGAAUCAAGAAUAACAUCUGGGUUCCUUAUUUAAAGUAGUAGAUAGAUAAUGGAGGCACUGACCAAGAGAGAGUACAAAAACUUUGUGGGAAAGAAUGAAGGCUCCAGUCCUGAGAUUUGAGGUGUCUAUGAUACCAUCCAAUGUGGUAUUCUAGUUGAUGAUUAAAAAUACGAACAUGGAGUUAAAAUUCUGACUUGGUUUAUAAGCAGCAGGGUUAUGGAAAAGCAAAUAGUGGUAGAUGUGCCAAACAAUUCCUAUUCUCUUUCAGGUAUAUGAAAAAGUUGUGUGUUCUAGCCUUUUUAUGUUUGGUUAUGCUACGUAACACAUUCUGUCAGUGAAUUUUGAGUGUAACAUUUAUUUGCUGAUGCAAGAUCUUCCAGAACCCAUUUUCUCUUUGUCUUGGCAAUCAGUGAUGUUCCAGGAACUGUAUGCUCUAUCAUUGUUGGUCUUGGAGGGAAGACAAUUCAGAAUACAGUCCCAACUACCUCAUGAUGGAUAUGUAAAGUAAGUGAGAAGAAAAGUUUGUUUUAAGCCACUGAAAUUUGAGAGUUACCAUAGCUGAUCUUUGUCACUCCUAACUGAUUGGAAUGAGAAAAUAAGGUUUAAAGAAUGAAACCUUUACUGGGCAUGGUGUCACAUGCCUAUAAUCCCAGGGACUCUGAAGGCUGAGGCAGGAGGAUUGCAAAUUUGAGGAGGCUCAGCAACUAAGCAAGACCCUAAGCAAUUUACUGAGAACCUGUCUCAAAAUUUUAAACAAUAAAAAGGGACUAGUCAUUUUUGCUCAGUGUUUAAACACCCUUGGUUUCAAUCUCUUAAAAAAAAAAAAAAAAAGUGAAACCUGAGAGUAUUAAUGUGUUGAUAGUCUGUGGACUUGUGAGGAAAGACUCAGACUGCCUUAAUUAGAAGAGGAGGGACAAGAGUAUUUUUAUGGAUAUGUGAGUAUCUAUUAGGAAUUUAGGCAUCUCAAAGGAUAAUCUUCUCUUCUUCUUGUCUCUGUUCUCUAUCCCUAAUCUAUUCUCAUAGCACCAACUUGCUAAUUAAUCCUAUUCUUAUCCUCUAAUCCACAUUCCAUAAGAAUAUAAUCCAAAUGCAGAGCCCUUAGCACUAAGCCACUUCUCCAGCUGGCAGCCAGCCUGUGGAUGGGCCACUCUUGGAUGAAGUGCUCAUCUUGGUCUAAACAGCACCACCCCUACCCCAAACACCAUUCAACUCUCCUGGGCAUAAGAGGUUUGACCAGAACAGUGCACACUGCAGUGGGUCAUUUCAACUCAUGUCUCACCACAAUUUAUUUUUCACAGAAUUGUGAAAGUUACAGUGUAUUUUAUGAGUAGAAUCUGCCUGAUGUAUUUUAAUUCACACACAUCAACCUACUAUGAUCAGCCUAAAAUCUUUAUGUUGCAUUAAGGAAAAAAAAAAAAAAAAAAACCUAACUUCUUGCCUGGCCAGAAAAGCCUUUUAUGAUCUCACUUCUGCCUGCCAUUCCUCCCUCACCUUCUGUCCUGGUCUCACACUUGAGCACCUCAGCUUCUUCUCUUUCCCUUGGAUUUUCCAAGGUGUCUAACUCAGGAUGUUGGACUCUGCCCUUGCUGAUCUCUCGUUUGAGCACUCUUUUUUAGCUCUUAGAAAGCCUGGCUUUCCUCUUUCGUUUUAACUCUUCUGUCACCUCAUAGAUUACCCAUGUCUAAAAGACUGCCCUUUCUACAUCACAGGUGUGGUACUGCUUGUUAUUUCCUUUACACUUAUCUGUAAAGGAGCACCCGUGGAGGAAUACCUGCGAGGAAGCACACAAAGAACAGUCACAGACACAAGGUAUAAGCAGCAGACAUAGGUGGAGCAGAGAGAGUGAAGUGAAGAAGUGAAAAAGAAGAAGUACAGAAGUGUCCACUCCUCCCUCCUGCUGAGUUUAUUAACUCAAAAAAGGUUACAUUUUACCCAUCACACAUGACUACACUCUAACCAGUAUUCCUUUAAUCCUGGGUGCUAGCUAACUGAGAUAAGGUCCAGGUUAAUACAAACACAGAGCCUCUCACACCCAAGGACUUUACUAUGGAAACCAGGUAGUGCACCCGAAUAGUUAUCUUAAUAGCCUCAGAGGGAAACUGCUGGGCAAUCCAAUCGUGGGAAUCUGGGCACCUGUUUGCUCACCAGAGGAAUUGCUUCCCUGUCUAUUUCCACAGUCAGAAUACCUAAUGCUUAUCACCACAUACUAAUACCUUAUGUCUAUUCUUUUACUGUCUGCCUCCCCUGGGUAGAAUGAAAACACCAUGAAAAUGGACAUCACUUCUGUCUUGUGAACUCGUGUACUCUGAUUCCCUAGAAUACUUAGUACACUAGAUAUUUUUAAGUGCAUGAUGGAGACAGUGAACUCUGUGCUUGUAUGCUGGCUGUUCUCUGCUGGCCCUCCAUCCAGGUUCAUUCUCCACCUUUCCUUGCUUUGCUGUGCUUCUAGGAGGUGGACCUCAAGAGCAUCAGCUGAGUCUGUCAUACUCUUGGUUUCCAAUUAGGUUUGAGUCAUGAGAGGCACCAGCAGAAAACUGGAGGAUAGUAGGAGUGAGAGGUAAGGCCUCUUCAGAACCCGGUUUCUCUAGUUUUGGCAGUAAGUGUAUUCUUCCAUGGCCAUGGCGUUCCUGUUUAUUAAGUUUUCAACUCUUUCCCAACUCUGGUACUGAUUUCCUGAAACUUCACCAUCCCUUGAUUAGACUGCGUUUUAGAGGAACAGAACCAAUUCAUAUGGGUUUAUUAGACUGGUGUAAAUCAGAGAUUGAAGAGUCAGGGAAACCAAUAGAUGCUCAGUUCAAGAAGCCAGAUCCUCAAAACAAGAGGGACAAAUGAUGCAGUCCCAAUCUGAGGCUGAGGGCCUGAAAGCCCUCUGGUCAGCCACUAGUACAAGUCUGCUUUCCGGGGUGGCAGGAUUUUGAGUCUGAUGUCCAUGGGUGAUGGCAGCAGCAAAAACUGCACCCACUCAAGGGUUGAAUAUGCAUAAGUAUAAGCUUCCCCCUUCCAUUUUUUAUUCUAUCCAAACCCCCAACCGAUUGGGGGUGCUGCGCAUGUUCAGGAUGGGUCUUUCCCACUCAUUUCAUUUGAUUGACAUGCUAAACAUCUCUGGAGACAUCUUCACAGACACACCCAAAAUUAUACUUUAUGCAUUUUCUAGGUGUCCUCAACCCAGUCAUUUUGACAACCAAAGUUAAUGAUCAUAAUUGUCUUUACUGUUUUUUUUCCUGCUAGGACCUUGAUUAACAGUGUGGCCAGUCAGUACAAUCAACACUUGGUUUCACGUGAUUUACCCCUCACCACACAGAGAAAGCAGAGGAACCACAUUUCAAAUUAAAACUAAGUUCAUGGAUUAUGAAGUGGACCAAGAGAAACUAUUAUAAUGGAAGUCCAAGGAAAAAUAAUUCUAACAGGAAAGGAAGGAGCAAUGGUGUCCCAAGGUAGCAAAGUGCUUGUGGUGAGAGAAAGACCAAUGAAUGUGUCUUAGACAUUUCUUUUAAAAGUAACCUCUAGUGCCUAGGGAAAAUACUUUUACUAAAGGGAGAAUUACAGAGAUUUUGAGAGUGAAUAAAAGAAGAAGAAAGAAAAGAGUGACAACUACAAGGAACAGGGUGAGGAAGAUGGGACUAUUAGAUAUUCCAAGUGCUAAUUAUAAAUUGAGGUUAAGAAGCCAGGGGAGUGAGAAGGGUUAAGGGAGGAAAUAGUGAUGAAACCAGGUUCAAAAGGAGCUAAGAAGAAUGGGAUUAAGAUACUAGGAAAGGAUUAGACAGGGGACAAGAUGCUUUCUCCAAGAUAGAAGGAAAAGAUAUAGAGUUGAAUGCAAAUUUACCUGUGCUGUGUCUAAUCCUAAUGGAUUCUGUCACUGAAGAAUUUAUUUGAAUGUGGUUGGGAUAUACAGAUCAUUUUUCUUUCUGCUUUGAGAGUCUGGGACAUCAUUUCCAUGAAUUUUCUUGAUCACAAACAAAGGUUGAUCUAUCCUUUCAGCUCUUCAUGUGUCACUCAUACAAUGGGCAAAUGUGUCCAGUCUUCUUAUUAUAGACUUUCCAAUGCACCUCUGAUUUGGAUGUGUCUUUUUCAACAUUGGGAAUUAGAAGGGGAAAUCCAAUCAUUGUUAACUAAUAACAUUUAAAUGCAAAAUGGGAAAAUGCUAUUAAAAGCUGUUAGUUUUGGGCAAAUUAAUCUCCAAACUCUACAUUAUCUAUAUUAUAACUGAAUUUCCAUAUAAUCUGCAAUAUUACCUUCCAUCAAAUUUAAGUACAUCUAUAAUAAUAAAUGCAUGUUUGAUAUGCAGACAUUGAAGCUGUUAAACUCAGUUCUUCAUGAUUUAUUAUCAAAUUAAGCUUCAAGAAGAAUUAGGAGUCCUUUUUGUUCUGGGUUUGGUGGCCUGCUUCCUUUCUUUGCCAACCUUUUAAACCUUUGGGAGAGAUUUUAGGAUUCUGGGCUCAAAAUUAGAAUGUGACUUAUUUUAUAAUAGGAUUUGAGAAAUCCUGAAUUCCUCAGGAAACCCUGUACCAAAUAAAUACAAAUGCCAGCCCCUCAAAAACUACUCUGGCAGCCAAAGGAAAGUAGAAGUGCAUCAAAUGCUGGCCUUAGAGCACAGUGUUGAUCUUCAGUGGGUGCUCCAGCUAGCAAGGAAGUAGCUGGAACACCUGUUUGGUGCAUUUUUACAGAAGACAGGUGCCUUUUCUUCUCACACUUGCUUAAGCUGUAUAAUUUAAAUGAGUACAUCUGGACCCUUGGAGCCUACAUAAAAUUGCUUUCUCAGUGUUAGCAAGUAAUUCUUUCUGAAUGAUGGAUUUUCAGUUUAUUUGUUUAAGAAGAAUAUACUGAGGGCAUAUACUUCAGCAGACUCCCUUGAGAGUAUAAAGAUGAAUGAAAGGCAUUUCCUACCUUAGGGAGUACAAUCUGAUUGUUAAGAAGAGACUAACUUCAUUACAGAGCCUAUAUGAUGAGUGCAUCAGAGUUCUGCUUGAGGGUUUAGGAGAGGUGUGAGAGAUGAUUUUUCACAGUGUGCCCAUUUCCAAAUGGAACUCUUAGUUCUGUUCCUUUGCAGCAUUUAUCUCAGUACUUCAAUGAAGGCUUACUUGAGAACCUGAACUAAUUGUGAAAAUUAACCAAUCUUGUUUGAUAAGUCCCCCAUCCCGUAUUACUACGAUAGUGAAAAAUGUUGCAAUUUCUGUCAGCUUUAUCUGCCAUUAUUAUGUUUACAGGUCUGCCUAUACAUUACCAAGUGCUUGUCUUCCUGAGAGGUAUCUCCAGUCUCCUUCUCCUCUUACACUUCUUUUAAUCAGUUUUUUUUUUCUGCUGUGAUCAGAACAAGUGCAGAGGAGGAAAAGUUUAUUGGAGGCUCACAGUUUCAGAGGUCUCAGUCUAUAGAAGGCUGGCUCCAUUCCUUGGGGCUCAAAGUGAAGCAGAAUAUCAUGGUGGGGGGCUGGGGAUGUGGCUCAAGCGGUAGUGCACUCGCCUGGCAUGCGCGGGGCACAGGGUUCGAUCCUCAGCACCACAUAAAAAAAAAUAAAAUAAAGAUGUUGUGUCUACCGAAAACUAAAAAAAUAAAUAAAUAUUAGAAGAUACUCUCUCUCUCUUUCUCUUAAAAAAAAUAGAAAGAAUAUCAUGGUGGAUGAGUGUGAUGGAAGGAAGCAGCUCACAAAAUGAACAGGAAGCAGAGAGGGAGACUCCACUGGUCAGAUACAAAAUAUAUAUCCCAAAGCCAUGUCCCCAAGGCCCACCUCCUCCAGCCAUACCCUACUCAUCUAUAGUUCCCAGCCAAUUAAUCCAUCCCAUCAUGAGAUUAAUUCACUGAUUGAAUUAAGGCUCUCGUAAACUGAUCCAUUCACCUCUAAACCUUCUUGUAUUAUCUCACACAUGAGCUUUUGGAGGACAUCUCACAUCCAAACUAGAACAGCACUGCUCUGCACUACAUAUUUGACUGGGAAUAAGGAGGUCUUGUUGGAGCUGACAGAUGAGGAUUAGGGGAGAAUGAGGAAUCACCAACUCAUAGCAGCUAAGUAAUCAUUGUUUACCUAAUUACUAUUCACAGUAAGACAAUGAAUCAUGACAGGUUUGAUUCUGUGGUGGUUAACUUCCAUUGCAGAAAAAUCCAAAGACUUGAUGCUUCUAGUUCCCAGUAGCCUUAAUUAUAUGGGAAACAGUAUUUUGGAGUCUAAAGGGAAAACUGUGUCAUUUAUGAUGGUGAAUGAAAAUGCCAAGUCUCGCAGUUGUUAUAAUUCUGUUAUUGUACAAGUUCAUGUACAUAUAAAGUGCUGUUAACCUUUUAACCCUAUAGAAGAUACUGAGAAAAAUAAGUAUGAAACAUUCCCUUUAAAUUUUUUCUUUAAAACUGUAAAAAAGAGGAAAGUUUAGAAUAUUCUACUGCCAAUGUAACUGUUUUCUAAUGAAGAAAAUGUGAUUGAGAUUAAUAUUAUUUCUACAGAACAAAUCCAUACUUUUUAACCACAUAUACAAAGAUAAAUUACAUGUUUUCUAGCUUUUUUAAAAUACUUAAUUCUUUUUUUAACACUUCUUAUAAAUUUAAAAGAAGUCUAAGAUUAGAGAAAAAAAAUGGGGGCGGGUAUACCAGGGAUUGAAUUUAGAGGCACUCAAACAUUCAGCCACAUCCCCAGCCCUAUUUUUUUUUUUUUUUUUUAGAGACAGGGUCUCACUGAGUUGCUUAGAAUGCCUCACUUUUGCUGAGGUGGCUUUGAACUGGUGAUCCUCAGCCUCCUGAUCUGCUGGGAUUACAAGCAUGUGCCACGGCUCCCAGCUAGAUUAGAGAAAAUUUUGAGAAUCUUAACUUGAACCUGAAUUUACAUCAAGAUUAUUUGUUUCACUUGUUAGAUGUGAGUUAGGGAUUUAAGAUAUGCUCUGUUGACCUCUAUCUAGGCAUAGUCUAACUGAUCUGGGUGAUAGUCUUCACUUAUCUCUUCAUUACAUUCUCUUUCAACUCUCCUAUCAAUUGAAAAGGAAGAAGAGAAACUUUCUCAGGUAGUAGAUUUAACUUUAGUUUAAAGAACGGAUUUCAAGUUGGGGGAAGCUCAGGAAUAAUACAUGGUCUUGCCUGUUAAAUCACCAAAUAAGCUUUUACUCAACAAUUUCUUAUUAGUAAUAUCACUGUGACCCCAGCAUUUUAAAGGAUGUCUUGGGGGCAGGAACUUAAGAAUCCAUCUUCCACCAUGAGAAGGCAAAGAACUGUAGCACCCAGUGUCAAUUACAAUGGGAGAACCAAAGGAAGGAAUGACUAAGCCUGUUUGGGAGUCAGAGGAAAUUUGCAGCAAAGGUGCUAUUUGAGCUGGGUGUUGAAGGAUGAGUGUAUACUUAUUUAUAUCCUACUCACUUCAGAAGGAUUUUAUGGUGCCUUGUAGGAUUUGGCCAGAUAGUGGGGGAGUAAAACAGCAUUUCAGGAACAGAAAAUGCCAAAGUACUGAAGUGUGAAAGGGCAGGAAUUACUUGGGAAGUGGUGAGAUGUUCUGAGGACAGAUGCAUAGAAUACACAUGUGAGGCUGGAGAAGCAAGGCAGGAAACAUCAACCCUAUGUGCCACCCUCUAACAGUGGUUUUCAAACUUAAGUUUGCAUUAGAAUUCUCUGCAGUGCUUUUAAAAGUUUAGUCCACUGGGCCUCAUCCUUACAGGAUUUUAGUUAUACUGAUGUGUGGCUAUGAGUAGAAGUGGGGCAAGACUUGGCAGUUUUCACAAAUCUCCUAGUGAUUCUACAAUACCUAGUCUUGGAACCAAACUUUAAGAACCACUACUGGAUUUAUGGAUCUUAUAGUCAAUUAGGAGUACCUGGGAUUUUUAUAGCUUGAGAAACAAAUAAAUUGAUUUAGGCUAAGGAAAUUUAAUCAAGUUGUGAUAUAAUCAAGAUAAAUUGGAAUUAUUAAAUAUGGGGACUUAAUGAAAAUAAAAGCAUUCUGGAUGUUAAAAUGAUAUCCAUAAUUUAAAUGAAAAUACUACAUGUAAUCAAAGAAUCUUAACUUUACCAAACUUUUAAAAAUGUGUUUCAACAAGUCUAUAAAAAUUUUGAUUCAUUUUUUGCCAAUGUCAUUGUUAGGCCUUAAUAGCUAAAGAAAGAGAUGGCUUUGUCAUGGUGAUUCAGCAGUCAGACCUCAAAAAUGUGUGACACAAAGCCACUCACAUUGGAGAAAGUCUGUCUAAGGAAAUACCACCUGGGGCUGUCACUUACUGAUUGUGCCCACUAUCAGUAUCAGAGCCUUGCGCAGGUAUCAGGUGUGAUCUUUCCAGGCUCUAUAUACUAGUAAGUAUAGGGGCUUCACCCUUAUAAAUAGGACAUUAUAGAGACAGCAAGGUUAAAUUGAGAACAGCUAAAGCCACAAACAUGGGAAGAGAAGUACAUAUGAGUAACUUGAUCCUCCUCAUGUGGAAUGUAUAAUUAAAUCUUGAUAUUAAUUAAAAUGUUUUAUUUUAGUUUCAUUUCUCCUUAUAGCAACUAUUUGGGCCUUUGUUAAGUGUGCCCAAGGAACACUCUAUGUUCUGUUCUCUUCCUCUGAAUGCCAUUCUUCUUAGUGCCCAGGUUCUGUUGACCCUCUUGAGUUUUGUGCUGCUUCUUUUAUGAGAGUUUUAAAGACAUUUAAAAGGAAAUAACAAUGACUCACAAUAACCAUGUCUAACAAUGACUUCUGAACUAGAGAAAAAUGAUUCUUUCCUUUAAAGAUAAUUUCAAACCAUAUGGAAUUUUAAAAAUCAAGAGCAUCAAUAUUUAUUUUUCAGGCUAUAAAUGAAAAUGAUUAACUGCUGUAACUUAUGUAGGCUCUACCCAUGAUGUAUUUAACUUUAAAAAGAUACAAUCAGGAGAGUUAAGGUUCUUUAAAACUAUCAUAUACUAUUAGUUCUCCAAUCCAUUUCUUCAUCUGGGCACAGUAGUGGAGUUAAAUUUGGAGGUUGGCCACCCAGCUGGAGAUGCUAUUUCCCAGCCUCAGUGAAGGCUGAAGGAAGUGACAUAAAUACUUAAGUUCUUGCCAACAGAAUGGUAUCACGAAGUGAUGUGUGCAACUCCAACCUUACUUGUUUAAAGGAAUUGUCUUCUCUCCACUUUCUUUCUCCUUCUUGAGCUGAAUGCCCUGACAUGCCAGAGACUCAACAUGGGGACCCCUAAUAGCUGAAUGGAGCAGAACUACUCUAUCAGCCUUGCCUGGCUAAACUAAGAGAGAAAGAGAGAAAUCCAGUGAAACUGAAGCAGAGACACAAGUGGCACAACUGCAAGCCAAGGAAUGCCUACAAUCACUAGAAGAUCGAAGAGGCAGGGAAGGAGUCUCCUAGAGCUUUUAGAAGAAGUAUGAUCCAGCUGGCACUUAAAUUUUUAUACUUCUAAGAUUUCAAAAUUGUGAAAAUAAAUUUAUGUUGUUUUUAAGUCACACA